rnacentral:tRNA from 2 species
AGCUUUAUAGUCAAUAAUGACAUUAGACUGCAAUUCUAAAGGAGUAAUAUAUUUACUAAGGCUU